GUGCUUGCUUCAGUAGCACAUGUGCUAAAAUACUAUGUAACAGAGAAGAUUAGUAUAGCUCCUGCACAAGGAUGAAACACAAAGCAUUCCUUUUCUAAUGUUU
ensembl:snRNA U6 U6 spliceosomal RNA